rnacentral:rRNA from 1 species
AGCGAACGUUAGCGGCGGGCCUAACACAUGCAAGUCGAGCGAGAAAGGGGCUUCGGCCCCGAGUACAGCGGCGGACGGGUGAGGAACACGUAGGUAAUCUGCCCUUCGAUGGAGGACAACGGUCCGAAAGGACCGCUAAUACUGCAUACGUUCCCCGGGACCUCGGUCCUGGGGAGGAAAGCCUCGCAAGGGGCGUCGGAGGAGGAGCCUGCGUCGCAUCAGCUAGUUGGUGGGGUAACGGCCUACCAAGGCGAAGACGCGUAGCUGGUCUGAGAGGAUGAUCAGCGACACUGGGACGGAGACACGGACCAGACUCCUACGGGAGGCAGCAGUGGGGAAUAUUGGACAAUGGGCGAAAGCCUGAUCCAGCCACGCCGCGUGAGUGAUGAAGGCCUUCGGGUCGUAAAGCUCUGUGGGGAGGGACGAAUUGCCCGGUGAAGAGCCGGGAGUGACGGUACCUCCUUAGCAAGCACCGGCUAACUUCGUGCCAGCAGCCGCAGUAAAAC